ensembl:lncRNA
CCAUGCUUGCAUGACAAGAGCAGAAUACCAGUGCGUGUUUAGAAAGAAGUCUUUCCAGGAGAAAAAUUGGUUCUUAGUGGGUGAGGACUGUUUGCAUUCAGAGAAGCAAUAUUCAACAUUUGGUGUUUCAAUACCUGAAGUUGUGACCACUGAAAACUUGGAGGAGCUGCUUCACUGAGCACGGAGCUCGUGACGAGAGGCCUGAAAGCAGGAAUUCAGAGCUCCUACUAACAAAUGGAAAAGAAACUUUGGAGUGCGGACCUAAGUAAUAGAAUCAUCAAAUCAUUUAGUUUGGAAAAGACCACUGAGAUCAUCUAGUCCAACCAUCAACCCAUCCCCACCAUGGCCACUAACCAUGUCCCUCAGUGCUACAUCUACACAUUCCUUGAACACCUCCAGGAAGUGACUUCACCACCUCCCUGGGCAGCCUGUGCCAAUGCAUCACCACUCCUGAGAAGAAAAUUUUCAUAAUAUCCAACCUGAACCUCCCCUGGCACAAUGUAAGGCCAUUCUGUCUUGACUUAUCGCUGUAACCUGGGAGAAGAGGCUGACCCUCACCCCAUCACAACCUCCCUUCAGGAAGUUGUAGAGAGUAAUAAUGUCUCUCCUGAGACUCAAGUCAUGGGUAGGACAACCCAACCUACAAAGAUAAAAGUGAACAUCACAAUUAUUUACCAUAUUUACAAUGACUUUAGACAGAAAUCUGAGUCAAAUCAACCCAUGGAAUUGCUUUGCUUCUAAAACUUAAUAUACAUUACAGUUAAACCACAAUAGUAAAAUCCCCACUAAACAUGAGGAAAGGGAAAUGGCAAGCUGACUGCAGUAAGAUGUAAAAGCUUGUCUGAACUCAGAUGUGCCCUAUGUGGUUCCUGGACACAGGGCAGUUUCCAUGAAAUGCCCCACAUCUGACCCUUGGACAAAAUGUCACCUCAUCUAAUCUGCCUGGUGGGACCAAGCCCAGACUGUGCUAACCCCCUAGAUGUGCCUAAAGAUGGGUUGAGAGAAGAACUCUGAGUGCCUGUAUCUAGGAACACUCCUUCAAAGUGUUUAAUUUCCUAGAAUUGUAAAGUCAUUUGAGCUGGAAGGGACCCUUAAAGACCAUCUAUUCCAAGUCCCCUGCAAUGAACAGGGACACUUACAGCUAGAUCAGGUGCUCAGAGCCCCAUCCAGCCUGACCUUGAAUGUCUCCAGAGACAGAGCAUCCAUCACCUCUCCAGGCAACUUUUGCCACUGCCUCGCCACUCUUGUUAUAAGAAAACUUUUUCCUUAUAUCCAAUCGAAACCUCCCCUCUUCUAGUUUGAAACCAUUUCCCUUUGUUCUGUCACAGCAGACCCUGCUAAAGAGUCUGUCCCCUUCUUUCUUACAGAUCCCCUUUAGAUAUUGAAAGGCCACUCUCAAAUAUCCACAAAGAGAGGGGAAACUUUCUCCUCUCCAGGCUGAACAGCCCCAGCUCUCUCGGUCUGUCCUCAUAGGAGAGGUGUUCCAUCUCCAGGAUCACUGUUGUGGCCAUCCUCUGGAUGUGCUCCAACAGGUCUGUGUCUCUCUUGUACUGUGGACUGCACAUCUGGAUGCAGUACUCCAGGUGAAGUCUUACCAACACAGAGCAGAGAGGAAAAUUUCUAGUCUUCACAUAUUGUAAGUAUUAAUAAGGGAAUUUCCUAGUAUUAGCACAACAAAAGAGGAAAUAUUAAAAUAAUAGCUGAUUAUGUGUGUGUAUGGGUAAUGCAGUCAUGAAAAACCCUUCAAGUCUAACGUUUUGUUGUCUCUCUAAGUACAUGCUCUUGAUUUUUGCAGUCAUUCGCUUUAACUACAGUCACAAGAACCUAGAACAGAGAGAAUGAAGUUCUGGACAGCAAAUAAGGAAGUAUUUGUAGUGAGUGUUGGCAGAACUGACACCACACCAGGUCACAGCCAUGUAUUACAGUCCAGCAUCCCUGGGGCAAGACUCCAACAGCAAACUGGAAAGAUGCAGAUAGUUCAGCUUCCUGAAGCUGGCCCCAGUCCCACCACUCCCUGAACCCUGUCCAGCCCAGCUUCUGCCUAUGCUGCUACCCCUGGGGCCCAUCCAUCAGCAGGUUGUGUCCUCAUCACCCACCUCCUGCCUCCAGCUGCCCUCCUGCUGCCCCUCCCUCGCCAUGAGUCACAUCCUUCCUUCCUCCGCCUCUGUUUUCCCUCUGGCCUCAGCCCCAAUCUAUUUGAGCCAAUAUCCUUUCCUCCACCAUCAAUGAGCUUCAGCCUUCUUGGCAUUCUUUUCCUCUCCUUCUCUUUCCUUUGCCUCUUGAGGGGCUCGCACUGCAGAGCAGUCCAUUCUGGCUGUGCGUCCCGGCCCCAGCCCUGAGCCACACAGUGGUCAGUGCCCUCCCUGUCAUCAGGGCAGCUGGAGUGGGACCAGAGGAAGGAGAAUGCUUGGCAACCAUGCUGAGAAAAUGGAAGUCCCCACCCAACAAGAACAAACCUCUCCUCUCUCCCGCUGGUGUUUAGAAAUGGGAAAAAUUUGGACAGAUGUUCACGGGGCAGAAAAAGUGCAGCUCAGAAGCAGAAUGUUUUGUCAAAGGCUUGUUUCUCCAAGUCUUGCUCUCUGCAGUGCUAGAAAUGUUUGGGCAGCAAUGUUCAAAACAGACAGCAGCAGUAACAAAUGCUGCCUGAAGCAAAAAUCCAGCAUAGAAAUUUUUCUUAACUGAAUGGGCACAAUUCUACAAGAGCCUGAAAAACAGCAUGUAUGGGACUGUCAGCACUCAUUCCAUACAGAAGCACUCUCAUAAUAUAGGUAACAUGGGUGACCAGAGCCUAUCCAAUUUAAUGCUGAAUAGAUUAGCUGUUUCAAUACCACAUUUGAAAUGUUUAUACAAAUGCUGGGCUCUCACAUAAUAAAGUGGUUGUAUAUUUUUUUCCUUUUAAGCUGAUUCUUCCAUACCGAUGCUGUACCAUAGCCUAAAGUAAUUUAAAUGAUUGACUAGCAGAAUGUGCUAAUAGCUUUGAUUAGCUUCAUUUAUUUGCAUAUAAUUAUUUGCUAAUUUCUCUGCAGUAAUUAGAACUGUGGCACAUUGCUGACAUGACUUUUUUUAAACAAGAAUGCUUUCAGUAAUAUUCCAACCUGUUUUAUGAUUCCCGACCGAUGCCUUCCAUAAAGAAAUCAGUGUCAGGAAAGAUGUUUCUGAAACAAAUACACAACUCUUGAUUUUGAGCAGUCACUGAGCAGUCAUAGCAGGUUGUGCUGUGGCUGUAUAUGUUAAAAAUCCAGAAGACCAGGAAAUACUAAAGUGACCCAAAGUUCUGCACAAAGUCCCAAAUAGUUUGGAAGAAAACACUGGUAGAAAAUAAUGCAAUACUGUAAUAAAUGUAUUUCAGUUGAUAAUUCCAUUUGUGGUAUUUAGGUGCAUCUACUCAAGUUAGUAAAUUACUAAUUAUGCAUACUGCAUUUUUUCUUACCAACUUUGGAGGCUACUUAGUGUAUUUUCUUAUCUCUUGUUAACAUCAGGUUAAUGUAGAAUUCUAAACCCAGUUCAUAGAAUCAUAGAAUCCUUAGAGUUGGAAGGGACAUCUGAAGGCCAUCUAGUUCAGCUCCCCUACAAUGAACAGGGACACCACAAUUAGAUCAGGUUGUCAACCUUGCCUUCAAAGUCUCCAGGGAUGGGGCAUCAGUCAUAACUCUGGGCAACCUGUUCCAGUGCCUCACCACUCUCACUGUAAAAUACUUUUUCCUUAUAUCUAACCUAAAUCUGCCCUCUUUGAGCUUUAAGCCGUUUCCCCUUGUUCUAUUAUCAAAAACUGCUAAAGAAUCUGUCCUUUCUGUAGCUCCCCUGUAGGUACUGAAAGGCCGCUGUCAGGUCACCUUACAGCCUUCUCUUCUCCAGGCUGCGCAGCCCCAGCUUUCCCAGCCUGUCCUUGCAGGGGAGGUUUUCCACCCCUGGGAUCAUUUUUGUGCCCCUCCUCUGGACGCUCUCCAACAGGUCCACAUCUCUCCUGUACUGAGGACUCCACAUCUGGACACAGUACUGCAGGUGAGGUCUCACAGCACAGUAGAAUGGUAGGAUCACCUCCCUCACCCAGCUGGCCACCAGUUUGUGCCUGUGUUCCUGCAAGACAGAAGGAUAAAAGUCAAGGGCAAAGAAACUCUCUUCUGGAAAUCAUGACUGGACAAACAUAAACUUUCCUGGAUGCUUUGCCAGCUACCUGACAAUUUUAAAUAGAAGACUGAACAGGUGAAGAAACCAAUCAAAGUCAGCACUAAUGCUGCUGCCUAAACAGUUUAGCUGUCUUUGCUCCAUUUCUCCCACAGCUAUUGCUGACUGUGACUAUAGAUAAGUUGGCAAGGAUGGAGGUCACCAAAACAAGAAAUGCCUUCAUAAUUAAGGGCUCAAUAUGCUUCACAAAUACACCUUCUUCUGCACCUGCUGCCAAAGAGCUGUGGAUCUGUGAUAUCUUGUAAAAAUAAAUUAAGAAACCUGAAAGGCUCUCCUUGUAAUCUAAAUGUGGAAAUGAAGAUGUAGAAUGAGGAUGAAACUCCUAAUUACUCUCCCCAAGCUCAUACUUGCAGCAUAAUCAAAUCUGUCUACCGGGGCAAUCUGCACUUAAUCAAUUGAAGUGUGAUACAACCUUGCUCUUCACGAUACUGUGAAGCUAGGACUAAAAAAAGCCCUGUCAUUGUUAUGAGUGUAUUUUCAAGGCACAGAAUUAGCGAGCUCUGCUCUCCAAAAUGAGCCCCUCAACAUUUAAUUAACUGUAGUACAUGGAAAACAUUUGUUGUGGUUUGUGUCCAGCUAACAGCUGAUCCUGCCAACAACCAGGACUACACUGUCCUGAGAGCAGUCUGCCAUUGGGAUUCCUUGUUCCAACACACUUAUUUCUUGGUGAGAUGUGAAGUUCUCUAUUUGUUUUAAUGCAAACAGUGAGUUAUUCAGUAAGGAAGCAAAGCACUUUACAUUCUUGCCAUGUCUCAAAGCCUGAAGAAAAAACCCACUUUUUUCCCACUCUGUAAUUGAGGAUUUUCAUGAUAGCCGAGCUGAAAACCUAUGUAUAGUAUCAGUCUAUGCUUCAAGGCUUUGGACAAGUUUUGGCCUUUGGUUUGUUUGGACAAGUAGCAGAAUUCAGUUGGAUUUGUACUUAAAUGGCAAGGCAGCUCCUCUCAAUGUCACAUUGGGAAUUGGAGGCUUGAGAAGCAGGCUUUUCCCCAACGAUUCUCUUGCAUUUUAAUUACAGGGAUGUGAAAAAACAUCUGUCUGGGAUUUUAUGACUUCUGUUUCCAACUGAAAUUGGAAAAUGCAAGGACACACAAGAGGAGAAGAAGAUUUCAGCCUUCUGAACCUGUAGCUUUCUGGUUAGAAAUUUAAGUAACAAUUCUGUAUUUGCUCUUGUUCCAAUCAGAUGUGUUUAAUUCUGCCCUCAAAACUGUGACUCCUAUUCCCAUUUCCAAUCAACAUUUGAAAUGGUAGAAAUAUCAGCAGAAAACAGUCUGUUUGGCAGAUCUCAUGGAAGGCAAAGUCUGUCAGAUGAGUUAUCUUCUGCUUUCCAGUUUGGAUAAUUGCUUGCACCUGUGCAAACUGAGGGUCCCAGCCCCUGUCCUGCUGCUGCAAUGUGCCUUGUGCAGCAGAAGUGUGCAUGGCUGGAUAAAAGGUAAGGGAGAGCAUUUGGCCUAAUGGCUGUGUUUCUGCUGAAAACAAAAUCUGUCAAAUGGUAAAGACAAAAUGCUGCACUGAAAAAACCUUCACAUUUUCUGCAGCUGUUUAUUGGGAGGUCUGUUUUGUAAAGAAGGGAAGGCCAACUUUAUGCCACAGCAUGAGCGAACAAACGACACAUUUUGCUUUCUAGUUCUAGCACAGCCUGUGCUCUCAUAAAAAAUAUUCUACCAGUAAGCAAAAACGUGAACAACAAAGAUGCAAUAACUUUUCUCACUCCUAUUUUGUCCUCUCACCUUCUGUCAACAUCCAGAGAAGUGGAACAUUCUCCGUAAUUUAAAAAAAUAAUACAUUUCCCUGUGUGCCUCCUUCCAUUGAACAGGAGGACAUCAGAGGAGCUCAGCUGUCUCCUUGAAUUUGUCAGCAAAUUAAGGACAUCAGUAUUAUGAAAAUGUCCAAACUCAAUGAAAAGUUAAUUAGCAUUCUGAGGAGUCACUUCAAUUAAGGGGAACUUGUUUUGUUGGCCUCACUAGAGAAAUGUGGACUAAGACAGGAAUAUAAAUGUGACAAUAUUUUAUAAUGAUUUAAUGUGACAAUCUCCCUAUUUGCAAAUAGCCCAGCAGAGUCACAGUUUAACAUCAAUUCAUAAAAAGCAAGUUCAAAAACAAGUCAUAACAAUUUACAGGAUGUUUUUCAAUUAUCUGACGAAGGACACAUGGAGAUUUCUUACAUGAUUUCAUUUUUCUAUGUGACUCCAUGCAUUACAUUGUUCUAAACAAUUUGUUGUUUGAAUUUUUCAAUUCCUGUUUGGUAUGUUUGCUGAAGUCUACCAAGAAGCUCCAGCAAAGUUUCCAUUGCCUUCCAAACCUCUCCAGGUGGGCUUUCAAUUUCCCACUGAUGGGAUAAACAUGCUGAGUAUUUUCAGCUGGGUCUCAGACAAAACCAACCAAAAUCAAGUCCUUAAGGCUCUGAUUCUCAGAGCACUUAAUACUAAUAACUGCACCUGAACCUGGUUGUAGUUGUUGGGGGUAGUAUCCCUAUAAACUUGAAAAGUACCCUCUUCUUGGUGAGGUUGGUGCUUGGAUCCAUGGAGCUGUUUGGAGAAGUGAGGUAUGGUGCUUAUUUUUGUGGAGGGAGAGCAGACAGAGCCUGCUCCAUCAAACACUGUAGAGAAAAAGCAGUAAAUAUAAAAUGAAGUUAGGGAUGACUUGCAGCUCUUGAUUUUCUUUUGGGGAUAAGACUUUGGGAAGUAAAUUUUAGUGAUGUUUCUGGAGGUUUCUAGAGACUACUUCCUUUUUGUUUUUAAAUUCAGUUUUCAUCAGCAUCUGUAACGAAAAGUUUGGAGCUCUUUGCCAAGUUUCAGUAUAGCUUUGUCUAAGUAACAGCAAGUACCUGAGAACUUUCAGGAUUUUUCAGAACUUUUUCAAACUUCUCUGAGACCUUCCUUUAUCAGUUUAUCUAUCCUUUGUCUAUCCUUUAUAUGAUAGAGACUGGUGACUGAAUGUCUCUCACCACUACGAAAUCCCAGGCUUGUCCUUGGACUUGCGUACUUCUGCUAUGUGAUAUACUCAUUUACAGGCACCUUGCUUGUUUCUUCCAGCUAGGGCUCCAAAAAAAAGGAGCAGGACUCAGUUACAUCCGUAUCAUCAAACAGUGCAACCCAAAGCCAGAGGAAGCAAAGUGAAGUUCAAACUCUGACCUCUGUGUUUGUCAAUCUGUAGUUAUGGCAAACUGACAAACUAAGGCUUAAACCGCCAUGUUGGUGUUUGUUGCACUUGAAAAUUAGAAGUGAUGUAUCUGGCAGGAAUAACAUUUGCCAAUGGCAUCCCAAUACAACUGGCUAUCGCUAGCUGCCAUGAUGGCACGUGGAUCUCCUGCUGGCAGUUGGACUUAUUGCUAAAGAACUGCUCCUGUGUUAGUUUUUUGGUAGCUCGUCUUCAUUUAUUUCUUCCAUAGCUGAUCAUUUUCAUAGAUUAGUGAGGCUCCAUGAUCACUAUCUGUAGUGAGCUCCUUACCAGAUAUGUUUACUUUGCUAAAAUAAGACAGUAUUUUAUUAGCUGUUGAUCUUAGAAGCUGGAGUGUCCUGAUUAAACACAUGAGAAAGGCUGUACAGGGUUAGGCUAAACAGUCAUUUACUCCAUUAUCUUCUCUCUGAUAACAGCUGACAAGGGGAGUACAGAGCCGGGGCAGCCAUAAAGCACUUCCUCAGCAUAAUGUCCCAGCUUCUGGUGACCCGUCAUUCCUGGCCUACAGAAUCUGUCAUCUUAUUUAAUAGAGCUGGAUGGAUUUUUUCCUACUCUAAUUUGCUUAAUCACUUUGUGAAACCUGGGAAACUCUAGUGAAAAUCUCUGGAAAGACACUUCACGGCUGACUAUGUAUUAUUUCUACCGCUCAUUUUGAAUUUGCCAUCGACUUUGUCUGGCCCUUCUCGUUCUUCUAUUAGAAAAUAUGAUGAAUGCAACAUCCCUAUUUGUGUUCCCUGUACACUCAUGGUUUCAUACACCUUUCUUAUGGUCUCAGUCAGUCAUCUCUCUUCAGACUGAAAAAACCUAAUCUAUUUAGGCAUUUCUGAUGCAGAUGCCAUUUGAUACCUUUGUCAUCCUGAUCCUCCAUCUCUGAACCCUUUCUUCGGACCUGCUAUACACUGAAGAGAUUAGUGUGCCAGAACUGUCCAUAGUAUUCAAGGUGUGGGUGCCUCACAUCUGUACAGAGCGGAUGCUAUCCUCUCCCUUCUUCUCUUUUCCCUUCCUAAUAAUUUCUAGUGUUCAAUUUGCUUGUUUUUAUUAUUCCUGAGCAUUGAGCUGACACUUUCACAUAGAUCAUCUAUUAUAUUUUCAAGAUCUUAUUCCCGAAUUAUAACGAUAAUUCGGAGACUGUCACUGCAUAUGUAAAAGUAGGAUUGUUUUUCCUCACGCUUGCUAAUUUACAUUUAUCCGCUUUGAAUGCAAUUUGCCUCUUAACCAAACAGUUAAUCUGUAUCAUACAGGUUGUUUUUGUUCUUUUUUUUUUUUUUUUUUGUUGCAGCACCUAAAUUUUUAUCAACAGGAAACACUGUCAUCUCCUCGUUCACCUCUUUUUCUGGGUAAUUCAGAAGUGAGCUGAAUGGGACAGAUCCAGUCAGAUUCCACUGGUGUCCUCAGUACACUGAGAAAAUUGGCUGUCUAUGCCUGUUCUUCAUUUCACAAGUCUUAACCUUUUUUUCUUUCUUUCUUUCUUUUUUUUGGUCCAUGGAAGGAGUUCCUCCCCUAUUCUGUCACAGCACAGUUUUUCAAAGAGCUUUUGGUGACAUAUAUUGUCAAAUGCCUUUCAGAAAUCCCAAGAGAUUCAAUUUGAAUUAGUUUGUGCCCAAUGGGUUAGGAGUUGUUUGUUCAUUGUCUCUUCUGUGUGUGAUAUAGGAGAUGUUGAAGGACACUGCUGGAAAACACAGAACAAAAAGCAAGGUGAUUCUUCAUGCACUGUCUGUUUAAGGUUCAGAAUUCAUUGCCACACAAAACUUGGACAGUGUAAGUUUUUGUGGGUUCAAGAGGCAGACUGGGUAAGUUCACAGAUGACAAAUCCAUUGUGGGUUACUAAAUGCAUCAAAGUUAAGUUUGUCUGAGGGAUUUCUGGAAGUCAGAAUGAUUGUGGCCCCAAGAAUUUUCACUAGACUUACUGCUUACAUCUUCCCAGGUCUUUUCCUCUUCCUUAGGCAUUUGCUUUUGGAGAUAAGGCUAUGGGCCAUUAGCAGCUCCAGCACAGACUUUCUUUUUUUCCCUUGUGCCCAGGUUCUUAACUGGGUCUCUUCUCAGAUUCCUUCAAAUUCUUCUGCCUGGUUUUCAAGGUGUACCUUCCCUUUUUGAAUGCUGCUUCUCUGGAGUACUACACUUUCCCCAGCAUUCAUUUAUUUAGUUUCUACCAAUUAUUCAGUAAAGCUGUGAAAGCUCCUAGGUGGUAGCUAUCCAGAUAGCACCUUUCAACUUUUAAAAACUUGUCAUCACAUUUGCCAUUUUCCACCUCUGUAGUGCCAUUGCAGCCCUAAAUGCUUUUGCAGCUUCCUUUAAUAGGUCAGCUUUCAAAUCACCUGGGUCUGGCAAUUUGUUACCUUAAUUUUUACAAUUCCUGCUAUGGAUUUUUCUAAUGAGCUCGCUCUGAGAUAGCUCCUCUGACACAUUGCCUCUGAUGUAUGAAGAAGGGUUCUAGCCUAGAAUUUUCCCUGAACUCCUUCAAGGCUGCAAAAAAAAAUAAUUUAAUUUUCCUCCUCUGCUUUAUCUUCUCUGAGAGCUCCUUUUGUACUUUGAUCAAUUAAUGGGCCUACAAACUCUAUAGCUUCCUGCUCCUGAUGUGUUUGAAGGAAUGAUUAAUUAUGAGGUUGUUACGGCUUCUGAAAACUGUUCUUCAAACUCUUUUCUGCUGGCCUGAACCCAGAAACAGGAGAGCUUUGCUAAAGGCAUUCAUUUUGAUGUCUCCCUCUUUAAUAUUUUUUUAUUUCAGGAAAGAAAAGAAUUCUUAUUGGUUUUCACAAUCAUGCACACAUACAGACUCGCAACGGAAUAUAGUUUUACACAAAAUUUGUUACUCUUUUGGUCAUGCAUACACGUACUACAGCAGCUAUGCAGCAUCACCUGCUUUCCUCUGUAACAGUGCUUUACAUUUUCUGUAUAUAAUAUAACGUUAUAAUGCACUGAAUAACCAGAUACAUUUUCCUUGGUGAUUUUUGGCAAGUGGAUACUGCAUGGAAAGUGGAUUUCAACUUAAAAUGAGAAAACAAAAAACAAACAAACAAAAAGAACAACAAAAAACCCAGCAUUUUCCAUCUUAAGGCAAAUAAAAGCAAUUCAUUAUUAUUAUUGUAGUAGUUGCUAAUGUUAUUAUUUCCUUUUAAAGAAAAUCUAUGCAUGCCUUUCCAUUCAUCUGCUUACGCCUGACCGAUUCACAGCUUACUUUGUGCUUAUGCCAGUUCAUUGCUCCAUUGUUCUUCCAAAGAUAUUUUUCCUGCCUUACAUUCUUAGAUUGGCUUCUGGCUGACGUUUACUCUUGAAACUUAUGUUCUCAUGGUUUUGUGCAUGCUCAGUUCCUGUUCAGUAUGACAACUUGUGAUCUAUAUUUGUAACCUUGAUAUUCUGUUCAACUUUUGAUAAAAUGGACACUGAAUUAGAAGAGUUUCUUGCCUCUGUCUUAGGGUCAAGUUGUGGUUGCACGUGGUUCUGUUCUACCUACUGAUGGCAAUAAUCCUAUGUUGCUGCACAGCUUCAUCUUUGCAGAUGUUGGUAGAGACUUCUUAUGUUGCCUCCUCUUUUACCUGAAGUGAUAAUGUUGCCAGAAACUUCAUCUGUUUAUGCUUUUGGUUCUGCUUCUUGUUUGCUGUUCAUAACAUAGCUGAAUUUCCCAAAUUUUCUUAUUUGCUCUUGGUUAUUCCUGGUCAUACAAGUUUUGCCGAAGUUGGUUCUCCUGUUAAAGCAUAUUGUCUUCUCCGUUACUCCUGACUCUGGAGGCUUAUCUGUAUGUUCACAGAAACCAGGAGGAGACUUAGGCCAGGGACAACAUACAGCUCUUCACAUUUCAGGGGUUUAGUCCUAGGGACUCCACAGUGUCCCUCACCCAAAAGGCUUUGGCAAUAGCACACAAACAUGAUCCUUUUCACUUGUUACGCUCUUCUUGCCUCCUUCUGAUUUUACAGCUGACAACACCUGCCUUCUCACUAGGGAAUUACUACUCCUAUCCAAUUCUAUCUAUCUUUUGAGGUCACUGUAUUCCAUGAAAUGUCUCUUGAAUGACUAUUAUUUGAGAAAUUUAGCACUUCUAUGAUCCUUAAUGACAUAAAUUUCUGUUCAAUGUAUGAUUUUCCUUCUCUGAAACCUUCUUGUUCUUUGGUACUUGUGUCUGUCUGAUUUCAUUCACUGUAAUAUCACCCACAUUAACAUUUUUCUGGUACUGACACUAAUAAUACUCUAUUUCUUAUCUUUCAGAUUACCAUUCAUUUGACAGUUUGACAGUAAAACCCUUUUUGACAUUAGCAAAAGUAAGACAUCAGGCCUGUUAGACACUUCUAAGAAUCUCACGACGGUGCUUCACUUUCAGUAACCUAAAUGUAUCUAAGCCUUUGAUUCUGAUUUGAUAUUUUUUUUAAAUUAGUCAAUCUCAUCUGCUUUCAUUUUAUUUACUUCACUGGAAUGAGAAAACAAGCUUUUUCUUAAGCAAAUACAUCUAAUGUAAAUAUUGAAGUAAAAUUUAAAUAACUAACCAAGUUGCAAUUAAACGAUUAUAUAUUCACAGUUCUGUUUGACCUGAAGUUGUCUCAUGAUUGCCUCUUGGAGGUGAAAGCACUUGUUCCUUUGUGCCUCUGACUAUUGAGUAUUUUUCUUUGCUCACCUGAUAAGCCUACGUAUGCCAAGCAGUCACAAAAGCUGAUCAGAUGAAUUGCCUUCGGUGCCUAUUCACUGAGCAUUGAUUCAAAACCACACCAAACUGGUAUAAAAUGCAAUCAACUUCUCUGCAAGGCAGCCAGAGUUUCGAGGCUGAUUUCUUGUCUGAAGAACCAGAUGUACCACUGAUCUCUGCCUGGCAAAGAGACGCAGCUUGGUGAUAACCCUGGUGUAUUGUCCAGCCUAGUAUUUGUAUCCUCUUCCUUUUCAAAGGUUCCCAGUGCACAAUCAGAGCAGCUCUGUCUUGGCUGGAGUUGUCCCCACCCAGAGAACUCCUGUUCAUUUGUAGAGCUUUCUGUACGUGGCAGCUGGUGGCUCCCUAUGGAUCUCCCCAUUUGACUGCAUAGAAUGUUGCAUGCAGGAAUUUUCAAAUGAUUCUUUCUAUCUGAUUUCUGCAGCAUGAUCAUUCUUGCACUAUAGCUGAGCAAUCUUUUAUAACUCCUUUUGGUCUUCCACGUGAGCAGGAUUGCCCUAGGUGGAUGAAGGUGCUGUUAGCCAGGAACCCAUACAAAUCCUUAAAGAGAUGCGAGUCUUGGCUACACAGUUUACCAUUUAGAAAUGCCUCACGAUAUACAGUGAAAACCAAUAUAGAGAAAAUAGACCAAGCAAUUUUAUAGUAUGUCAUAUCUGUGAAAGCCAAAGGGCAAAAUUCUGGCUUCGCUGAGGUCACUGGCCAGGCUCUUGCUCACCAAGGGUCUUUGGGGUGCAAGCAUUUGUAUUCUGCUCCUGUUGACCUAUUUCAGGUUGAAAUUCCCUUUAGUAUUGUUCACUAAGCCGUAGGGCUUGCUGGUAACCUUAACGUGUUUUGCCAAUGCAAGCUGACAAGGGCACGACAUCAUUAGUCAAGUUUCACAUCCCACUGACCUCACCAUCAUGACUUAAUCCGCCAGGAUCUGUCAUUCCUAAUGGUUUGGUUUGAAAGUGCUUUACUGCACUUGUUUAUUCACCUAAGAUGGCCAAGAGCGAGUGCUCAGCUGCUGUUAGGGAAAUGCAGUUAUGUGGAAGCUGCUGUAUUUCUGCUACAACAUGCGAAUUAUAACAAAGUUUGAUAAUGCUUCAGGUAGCUUGCUGGAGUAGCAUGCCAGCAGCUCUGCUUUUUCUUACUUUCUGAUAUCUCAGGUAUGGAUUUUCUUUAAGGUCUGAUACUGUGUGAAUUGUGGCAUGCUGAAAUUACCACAUUCUGAGAAAACUUGGUAUUUCUGCCGAGAGGGUGAUUGAUCAUAUUUUGCACAUCUGUCAACUUUCUCUUUCAGAACUUCACACCACUUUACAGGCAUCAUUACCCUGAUAUUUAAUUUAGAGAGAGAGAGAGAGGAAAAGAACAUUUCAUGCUGGCAGGUCUGGCCAGGAACCAUCCUCCUCACUGCUUCAGCCUCUCUGUGCCAGGAGAAGGAACGCUCCGUGCCACAUCCCCAGUGGAAGCAUGAAGUGCUGCAAGGCUGCUCUGCAAACCAAGCGCACAAGGAGUGCACCACCAAACAGGGAAGAGAAAAAAGUUAGAAAAGAGAAGAAUUGACACCACAUAGGAUAAAGGAGUUGAGUAGUGAGGAAAAGAGAGGGAACAUGUGGAACUCUACUACCUCAGGUACUGCCGGUUGAAAGGUCUUUCUGUGUUCUAGGAUUUCUCUUCUGGUUCUACCCAACAGGCUGCAUCAGGGUGAGGAGAAUGAGCAUUUUACUGCAUAAAGGAAGAACUGUACAAGUUUACAGCUGUUUUGUUGAACUCAUUAAACUGUUUUCUUUAGAAAUUUGAGGAGUUAUUGCAGGACAAGUUUAGGGAGUGAAUUUGAAGUGUAAUGUCCAGUCUGCUCUUAUGCCUGGUGUGAAUUAAGGCGGAGACAUUUCACUAUGGAUUAGGAGUGUCCUCAUGAAGAGUUAGUAUGCAAUAACUAUUCUAGGCUAUUUCCCCAGGGAGACAAGCCUAAACAUCUGAUAAAUAGGCCUAUUACUUUUUCUCUUAACCAAUUAAGUACUUAUUUUAGAAGGAUAAGAUGAAUUAUCACGUAACUAUUUCUGCAAUAUGUCUUACUUAGUACACUAAUGUCAGAAAAGGCAAACUACUGUCCACAGAUUGGAAGGAAAGGUAUUAGUAUUUUACAGGCUCAAGCUUAGAGAUGACUCCUGGUCUUAUUAUAUUUUGGGUGAAGAUCAUGAUAUAUUGUUGUUUUUGCAACACUUCACAUUUAUUUCAUAAAAUAAAUCACAUAAUGGACUGUCAUAAUAGCCGCAGUAGCAUGACAGCAAAAAAGAAUUGGUGGAGCUACACUUCAGUGCACAGUGAAAUAGCUAACAAUUUGUUAAAUAUCCCAUGAGUGGAUUAAAUAGGCAUAUGAUCAGUUAUGUGGCUGCCAAGCCACAGCAGGAACCAAUUAGAAUUCACCAAAAAUAAUUUAGAUGAAAACUGAUGAAUCCAUCAAAACCUAAUUAAAUUUAUGGAAAAAAAGCAAACAUCUAAUUGACAGAUUGCAUAACCACUGAGCUUCUCUGUGAAGGGUCUGCAAAGGGUGGCCGCUGGGAGAAGAGCUGCACUACUGGGUCUGGUUGGCAGAGUGCUGGGUCUUCUAACACUCAGUACUCUGCUGGUAUCGAUUUCAGGUAAAUCACUCCCGUAGAGCUGAGGUGGUCAGUUUUCCGUGAAGUAACAUAAAGUCACCCAACAAAAAUUGUAACUACCAAUUAUUUCAUGGCUAGUCUUAAGUGAUACACAGAAGAGCCUGGGCAAGGAGGACUUGAAUUCAGAAGAGAGGUACAGGCAGGGAUCUCUCUUAAGGAUUCUAUUUUUCGCUGUGAACUAUAGAGGAUGGGAACUGAGAUUUUUACAGCUGGACUUGUGUGCAUCUUGUCUCUACUUUACUGUACUGUUGUGGGCCAGAGGAUUGUUUUUAUUUACGUUUGUUGGCAUUUAUGGAUUUUAAGCCAGCAAAAGGCGAAGCAAACCUGUAUGAGAAUGAGCACUGAUCUGAGCUAUCAGUAACAAAAUGCAUGAAGUGAAAAGGCGUGAUACCUCUCAGUCAGGAUUCUGGCUGCAGUAAAUAGAUGCACUGCUUUCAGAACAAAAAGACAUAGGCUUGCAUAGUUAUUCUCACUGAAUCAUUGCAAGGAAUGUGCCAGGAACAGCGCUGCUGAUCCUCUUACUCCUGCAAUGUCAGAAUAGAUAUUUCUACAGUGUACCUUACACUCCAGUUGUUUCUCAGAUUCCUGGGCUGCUCACUCUCCCAUGAAACUCUUGUACAUCGUGAACCUGAGUUUUCUCUUAACAGAAAUUCAGUUUUCUCUACUUAGAAGUGAAGCAUUCAGUUGCUGCAAGAGAAAAGAUGGUAUGUGCUUCUCUUCUAUUCCAUGUGCUUCUCUUUGGUGGUCACUUGAGAAAGUGUCAGGACAGGGUCUGAUUCUUCUCUCUUGAAAAUGGGAAUGACUUUUUAAUCUUUUCCCCCAGUGUGAGACAAGUGUAAACCCAAAUCCUUCAAAUGGAAGUAAUAAAAUUAUCUCAGCCAGAAGAGUCAGGUUAUUUACAGACUUGAUAUCUUACAUAAAUAAAUAAAUACAGGAGAGUAUAUGUUGUCAUUGCUGGAUGAGUGCCAGUGUUAGCCACAUCCUAAUGUUGCAUAAAGAUGCUUGAAUUACCUUGUAGGAUGCUAUUACUGUCUAGGAAGACUUUUUCAAACAAUCCUGUCUUAAUUCAUAGACUCAUAAUAUGAGGACAUACUACUUUCUCUAUGAGAAGGCGGUCACAUGUGCUUUGUUGCUGAUGUUCCUCUCCUGAAAUGAAAGUUAUUCUUCAAACUGAGGCAAAGACAGAGCUGAACUGUAACAUUUGGUUUCUUCUAGAUUCUUAAGUGAGCUAAGAUAACCGGAAACUGUAAAGCAAGCUGAAUGGCAGUGUGGUGGGCUGCAAGGGUGAUGCGCUGGGGUGUGCAGCAAGAUGGUACUUGUGCAACCUCUCACCAUAUGUGAGCUUCCUGCAGAAAGCAUGCAGUAGGCAGGCUGUAGAUGUGUAGCACUUCCUCAGCACUUAACACAUUGCCUCAGAGCUGAUAGCACAAAGAGAGCUGCUACUGUCUCUCUCCUUGUUCAGUUCAGUCUCAAGCCAUAAAUAAGUUGC